rnacentral:lncRNA from 1 species
AUGGAUCUCAGGACUGUUCUCACCAUCUCAGCUCUUUUACUUGUGCCUGCUGAAUCAUACCAAACAGUGUUUAACAGCACUACCAACACCAAUGAAGCCAACAGCACCAGGAAUUGUUCCUGCAACAGCAGUGUUCCAGUAACCAGUCCUAGCCCCACCACCAGAUCCAACAGCCCUGCACCUACCCUGCACCUCCUCAGAAUCCAAUGGGAAAAAAAGGGUAGUUGUGAAGGACACGUUGAGCUGAUCUCCUACAAAGCCUCCAACUUCCAGCCCAUCUGUUAUAACAGUAACACAAACAAGUGGCUUUUGGAAGAUGUGUGUAAGAACAAGAAAGGUUGUAAAGGCCCAAUGAGCUGGAGAAAAGGCAAGACGCAGAACUGUUCUUACAUCACAGAGAAUGGAACAAUGGUUGAGUCCCACUAUGAGACUCUCCGGGUGCAGUGCACAGCUGAGGUCCUCCCAGAUCUACAGGGGCAGCUGAAGUCCUACAAAGUGGUGACAGGUUUGCUCUGCUGUGUGCUGCUGGUCCUGUUACUGCUCCGCUUCACCAGACCCACUUUCAAAGCCCUGCAGAAGAGAUUGUCAGACAGGAGGCAGAAUCGCUGGAUCGGACCUACACAGAGUCACAGUGUGUCCUACCAUCGAGGAAAAACUGCAGUUAAAAACAAUGAUGGGGAGAAGAGGCUGUCCUACCCUGCUCUGGAGCGACUGGCGGUCAGUGACAGCAGGGAGCCUUCAUCCAACAGGAACAGUGACUACAACUACUGA